UCACUCUGUAUGGGUAGGUAGAAGGGAUUGGAAAGGGUAGAGGCCGAAUUUAGUGGAGAGCGACGGAUGCAACUCCAAGACCUUUAAAGCCCUGCAGGAGGACAUCAAACCAGAAGCGCUGGAUUAAACAGACCCUUGAUUGGUGCUUGAUGUGAAAGAGCCCAGUUUACUGUGGAUGGUGCCAUUCCCGGGCAUUUCCCUCAGGCAACAUCGGCCUCAACCAUGGAGUCCAGGUGCAAAUCAUCUCUCUCACUGUUUUCAAUUAACGAUGCAGACAAGCUGCAGGCUCAACAAACCCUGGGGGAGCAAGCCAUUACAUCACACCUCUCUGUGGCCUCUGCUUCAGUUCCUGCCCUGACUUCCUGAAUGAGGGUGACCCAAGGAUGAAGAGUACUGGUGGUUAGCCCUGUUUGGAGAGAGGAUGAAGAAAAGAGGACAAGGGUGGGUAAAGAAGACAGAACAAAUAUUGCACUGGCUGCACAUUACAACCAAAUGCCACCAACUUGCAGACGGAUGGAUGUGCCCUCUCAGUCAUGCCGUGUAUUUCCUGACAGGUUGUGCAGUCAAAAAUUCAAUAGAACAGUCUACAGGAAAGAGAGAGAGAGAAAAAAAAAAGGACAACAUACAAGGGUCUCCUUCCUGUUUUGUUCUUAUUGGCUGUUAGGUCCCAAAGGAAUUCAGGACAAAUGGUUAACUGAGGUGCCUAUUAACAUAUCAGGCUCUCCCAGCACCACUAGUGCCUGGCUCCUCUCAGCACUUCUCAUCCACCCACCCCAAUCCUAAACCUCUCUAGCUCCACAGUUAGCCUCCUUUCCCCCAACCUCCCGACUCCUCCUUAUAUAACCCCAGCCAUUUUGGCCACAGGUUGUCUUGAUUUCUGGCUUUUCUCUUGGUCUUCAUUCCCUUGGUCCUCUUGGCUUUGCUCUUGGAUCUCUUUUGCUUUGCUUGGGCUUCUCUCUUUUCUUUCUCUCUUGUCCCCUUUUCCUCCUCAAUCCUCUCAUGGCCUGGUCUAUUCUGCUGCUUGUGUUCAGUCCAGACUCUUCCAGGAACCUCUGGCUGUUCUCUCCCUCAUAUUCUGAGACCCCGACUUAGAGCGUUUCUCCCUGGGAGGUAAAGCCCCUAAAACAUUCCCCCAAGUUUGUUUUCCCUGAUCUCUAAAAAUACAGCUGGAAAGAAGCUCUUUGUUCUCUAUAGCCAGCAAAAAGCCAU